AUUGAACGCUGGCGGCAGGCCUAACACAUGCAAGUCGAACGACUGGCGGACGGGUGAGUAAUGUCUGGGAAACUGCCCGAUGGAGGGGGGUAACUACUGGAAACGGUAGCUAAUACCGCAUACCAUCGGAUGUGCCCAGAUGGGAUUAGCUGGUAGGUGGGGUAACGGCUCACCUAGGCGACGAUCCCUAGCUGGUCUGAGCGGAUGACCAGCCACACGGGAGCGGAGACACGGUCCAGACUCCUAAGGGAGGCAGCAGUGGGGAAUAUGGCACAAUGGGCGCGAGCCUGAUGCAGCCAUGCCGCGUGUAUGAAGAAGGCCUUGGGGUUGUAAAGUACGUUCAGCGAGGAGGCGUUACUCGCAGAAGAAGCACCGGCUAACUCCGUGCCAGCCGCCGCGGUAAUUC
rnacentral:rRNA from 1 species